rnacentral:hammerhead_ribozyme from 1 species
AUCUAACUGACGAGUCUCGAAUAAGACGAAAUACAUGUCCUGGAU